GACGAACGCUGGCGGCGUGCUUAACACAUGCAAGUCGAACGGUAAGGCCCUUCGGGGUACACGAGUGGCGAACGGGUGAGUAACACGUGGGUGAUCUGCCCUGCACUUCGGGAUAAGCCUGGGAAACUGGGUCUAAUACCGGAUAGGACUCCGGACUGCAUGGUCUGGGGUGGAAAGCUUUUGAGGUGUGGGAUGGGCCCGCGGCCUAUCAGCUUGUUGGUGGGGUGAUGGCCUACCAAGGCGACGACGGGUAGCCGGCCUGAGAGGGUGACCGGCCACACUGGGACUGAGAUACGGCCCAGACUCCGACGGGAGGCAGCAGUGGGGAAUAUUGCACAAUGGGCGCAAGCCUGAUGCAGCGACGCCGCGUGAGGGAUGACGGCCUUCGGGUUGUAAACCUCUUUCAGCAUCGACGAAGCGAAAGUGACGGUAGGUGCAGAAGAAGGACCGGCCAACUACGUGCCAGCAGCCGCAGUAA
rnacentral:rRNA from 1 species